rnacentral:rRNA from 1 species
UUGGAGGGCAAGUCUGGUGCCAGCAGCCGCGGUAAUUCCAGCUCCAAUAGCGUAUAUUAAAGUUGUUGCAGUUAAAAAGCUCGUAGUUGAAUUUCGGGAUCGACGGGUCGGUCGCGCCUCUGGUGUGUACUGGCCCUGUCGGUUUCUCCCUUCUGACGAACCACGAUGUCAUUAAUCUGGUGUCGUGGGAAAUCAGGACUGUUACUUUGAAAAAAUUAGAGUGUUUAAAGCAGGCAUUCGCUUGAAUACAUUAGCAUGGAAUAAUGAAAUAGGACGUUUGAUCUUAUUUUGUUGGUUUCUAAGAUCGACGUAAUGAUUAAUAGGGAUAGUUGGGGGCAUUAGUAUUCAAUUGUCAGAGGUGAAAUUCUUGGAUUUAUUGAAGACUAACUACUGCGAAAGCAUUUGCCAAGGAUGUUUUCAUUAAUCAAGAACGAAAGUUAGGGGAUCGAAGACGAUCAGAUACCGUCGUAGUCUUAACCAUAAACCAUGCCGACUAGGGAUCGGAUGAUGUUAAUUUUUUAAUGACUCAUUCGGCGCCUUACGGGAAAC